UCUUCAUCACUGAGGUCUGAUUUCUCUCUGGAGGUACUAAGAAGCAGACAUCCAUGAGACAAAACCUUACAAGUUUUGAGCCACCUAAAUCCAUUGUCUCCAAGUUUGGUUCCUAGGGCUCUAUUCAGCCUAAAGUUGCAAUCAAUGGACAAG